CUUGAUCGAGCCGAGCCACAGCGGCCGGUCCGCGGGCCGGUCCUUGCCGUAGGUGGCGAGGAGCGCGCCGGCCUC
rfam:Streptomyces mobaraensis NBRC 13819 = DSM 40847 contig170, whole genome shotgun sequence.